ensembl:lncRNA
GCCCCACUCCAGCAGGCUGCUCGGCGCGGGCGCGGGACAGAGGGGGACUCCAGCCCGCGCGCCGGGCCGCCCAGCCCCAGACUCGGGCUCCGCCGCCGGCCCGCCGCCCGCCCCUCCACAGCGCGGCGCGCAAGGCUCUUGUUUCGGCGGCGACGAGACUCGGGAUCCCUGAGGCGGCGGUGCCGCGGCGGCUGGUGGCUCUCCGGCACAGGGCAUUUGAAGAAAGAAGAGCUCUGCUUGGAAAAUGGGUAGCUGUUUAAAGUAUACCUGAUUCUAGCCAGAAAGAGAAAGGCAAACACCAAAUGGAUAUCUCCUGUAUGUGGGAUCUAAACUGUGGCACCAGUGAGCCUACCCUCAAAACAGAAACAGACUCACAGACCUAGAGAUCAGACCUGUGGUUGCCAAGCGGGAGGAGAGGAGGGAGCAGGACGGACCGGGAGCUUGGGGUUGGUAGAUGCAAGCUAUUACAUUUAGAAUGGCUAAGCGACAAGCUCCUACUAUAUAGCAC